UAAUACGUAGGGUGCAAGCGUUAAUCGGAAUUACUGGGCGUAAAGCGUGCGCAGGCGGUGAUGUAAGACCGAUGUGAAAUCCCCGGGCUCAACCUGGGAACUGCAUUGGUGACUGCAUCGCUUGAGUAUGGCAGAGGGGGGUAGAAUUCCACGUGUAGCAGUGAAAUGCGUAGAGAUGUGGAGGAAUACCGAUGGCGAAGGCAGCCCCCUGGGUCAAUACUGACGCUCAUGCACGAAAGCGUGGGGAGCAAACAGGAUUAGAUACCCUGGUAGUCCACGCCCUAAACGAUGUCAACUGGUUGUCGGGUCUUCAUUGACUUGGUAACGUAGCUAACGCGUGAAGUUGACCGCCUGGGGAGUACGGUCGCAAGAUUAAAACUCAAAUGAAUUGACGG
rnacentral:rRNA from 2 species